GCAAACUUGGUCAUUUAGAGGAAGUAAAAGUCGUAACAAGGUCUCCGUUGGUGAACCAGCGGAGGGAUCAUUACAGAGUUAUACAACUCCCACACCAUUUGUCAACUUACUCAGUUAUGCCUCGGCGUAAGCUCCGUACGGGGCUGCCGGGUGCGUUGCGGGCGACAGCUACCCUGUAGCUUACCCUGUAGCGCUACCCUGUAGCGUACCCUGCGGCGGCCCGCCGGUGGAAACGAAACUCUUGUUUUAUUGUAUCGUCUGAGCGUCUUAUUUUAAUAAGUUAAAACUUUCAACAACGGAUCUCUUGGUUCUGGCAUCGAUGAAGAACGCAGC
rnacentral:misc_RNA from 1 species